UGGGUGUUACAUCAUCAGCUGUCGACCAGUUUAAAUCACUCAGAGAGGUGCAGUUUGAUCGGUUCAUCUGUGUUUACUGAAGUAAACGAAGUUAGAGAUCAGUUGAAGCUAUAGUUUAUUAACUGUUAACAGAUAUAAGCAACUGCUGUGAUAAUCAGAUGUCCCAUUUUGUCCAAAAUGAAGAGGAAAUGAUGCUUGCUGUGCACACCGCUGUGACUAGGGGUUGGGGACUGUCGUGGACAGCUGACUCGGGAGUUUUAAUGAUUGAUGAAGAGAAGCCUCCGCCCUCUGGAACUCUUCCAAGGUGUCCAUCUUCUUUAUUUCAAUUCCAGAUUGAGGUCCGCUCCUCUGCAGUUUUCUGACUUCAUCAGUGAGAGUCACCAGCUUUAGAGUACAUCAGUUUCAGUUUGGAUCCAGCCUCUUAAGAAGACCUCAGAUGACUAAAACUUUGGAAGAGAUGGCGCCAACUCCUGCGAUGACUUCAGAAGAUGCAACAUCUGGAUCAACACGCACAUUCGCAAAUUUCUAUAUAUCCUAAUUAUUGUUAAUAUGUAAUUUAUUUUUCCAGGAGCUCUUUGCUUCUACCUUCAAUUAAAUUGCAAACAGUAAUUGUAUAUUAAUCGCCUAAAUUAUUACAUUAUUAGCUAACUGCAGUCUCCAAAUUGUAAUGUUGACAUGCAUUCUCUGUAAAGCUGCUUUGAAACGAUAUGUAUCGUGAAAAGCGCUAUACAAAUAAAUGUGAAAAAAAAUCUAAAAAUGAAAACGUA